rnacentral:rRNA from 1 species
UGCAUGUCUCAGUGCAAGCCACAUUAAGGUGAAACCGCGAAUGGCUCAUUACAUCAGUUAUGGUUCCUUAGAUCGUACCCACAUUACUUGGAUAACUGUGGUAAUUCUAGAGCUAAUACAUGCAAAUAGAGUUCCGACCAGAGAUGGAAGGAAUGCUUUUAUUAGAUCAAAACCAAUCGGUGACAGGCUUGCCUUGUUCACCGUUUGACUUGGUGACUCUGAAUAACUUUGUGCUGAUCGCACGGUCUCGUACCGGCGACGCAUCUUUCAAAUGUCUGCCUUAUCAACUGUCGAUGGUAGUUUCUGCGACUACCAUGGUUGUUACGGGUAACGGGGAAUCAGGGUUCGAUUCCGGAGAGGGAGCCUGAGAAACGGCUACCACAUCCAAGGAAGGCAGCAGGCGCGCAAAUUACCCACUCCCGGCACGGGGAGGUAGUGACGAAAAAUAACGAUACGGGACUCAUCCGAGGCCCCGUAAUCGGAAUGAGUACACUUUAAAUCCUUUAACGAUUAACAAUUGGAGGGAAAGCCUGGUGCCAGCAGCCGCGGUAAUUCCAGCUCCAAUAGCGUAUAUUAAAGUUGUUGCGGUUAAAAAGCUCGUAGUUGAAUCUGUGUCCCACACUGUCGGUUCACCGCUCGCGGUGUUCAACUGGCAUGUUCGUGGGACGUCCUACCGGUGGGCGCAGCUCGUCAAAAGGCGGCCCAACUCAAAAUCCUACCACGGUGCUCUUCACCGAG